rnacentral:rRNA from 1 species
GAACGCGAAGAACCUUACCAGGGCUUGACAUUUAGGUGAAGCGGCGGAAACGUCGUGGCCGAAAGGAGCCUAAACAGGUGGUGCAUGGCUGUCGUCAGCUCGUGUCGUGAGAUGUUAGGUUAAGUCCUGCAACGAGCGCAACCCUCGUCGUAUGUUGCCAGCGGUUAGGCCGGGCACCCAUACGAGACCGCCGGCGUCAAGCCGGAGGAAGGUGGGGACGACGCCAAGUCAUCAUGCCCCUUAUGUCCUGGGCUACACACGUGCUACAAUGGCCGGCACAAUGGGCUGCCAACCCGCGAGGGUGAGCGAAUCCCUAAAGCCGGUCCCAGUUCGGAUUGGAGGCUGCAACCCGCCUCCAUGAAGUCGGAGUUGCUAGUAAUCGCGGAUCAGCACGCCGCGGUGAAUGCGUUCCCGGGUCUUGUACACACC